CAACUCUCAGGUUCACACCAGGAGAGUUUCCAGUACUCUACCAGUAUGGACUAUGGGAGGGACAGUCAAGCAGAGGCAUACCCAUUCCAUUCCUAGCUUGGCCAGUGGCUAGUGAGUGGAAGGCAAUCUGCUACAAGC